rnacentral:rRNA from 1 species
UACGUAGGGUGCGAGCGUUGUCCGGAAUUACUGGGCGUAAAGCGCACGUAGGCGGAUAUUUAAGUCGGGGGUGAAAUCCCGGGGCUCAACCCCGGAACUGCCUUCGAUACUGGGUAUCUUGAGUUCGGAAGAGGUGAGUGGAAUUGCGAGUGUAGAGGUGAAAUUCGUAGAUAUUCGCAGGAACACCAGUGGCGAAGGCGGCUCACUGGUCCGAUACUGACGCUGAGGUGCGAAAGCGUGGGGAGCAAACAGG